UCCGAAGGGAGCUAUCGUUGUUCGGAAUUACUGGGCGUAAAGGGCGCGUAGGCGGCCAAACAAGUCAGGUGUGAAAGCCCAGGGCUCAACCCUGGAAUUGCGCUUGAAACUGUUUGGCUAGAGUUCGGGAGAGGUAAGUGGAAUUCCCAGUGUAGCAGUGAAAUGCGUAGAUAUUGGGAGGAACACCAGUGGCGCAGGCGGCUUACUGGACCGACACUGACGCUGAGGCGCGAAAGCGUGGGGAGCAAACAGG
rnacentral:rRNA from 1 species